GCUUAAUUGCAUGGCUGUGGUGUGCUAUUAUUAUUAAUAGUGCUGCAUUUUGUUUGCACGUAAUCUGUUUUUUGUUUACAUUGACCACAUUCUGUAGUAGUUUGUUUCUGAAACCCUAUGCUGUAAAAUACUAAAAGUUUAACUAUAAUUUAUACUAAGGACACGGAGCAUUUGUCCACAUCGCGCGUUUAUCAACAUUGUGUUUUUAGCCUGAGCUCAGAGUUGGUAUACAGAUUAGUUAUAAUGGGAAUUGCUCUUCUACUAUGACAUCAAAAUACAUUUGACUUCAUAUAGCCUUACGAUAGUGAUGAAGUUAUGUAACGGACAUAAUUGACCUAUCAGUCUGGAUUAAUUGACAGUUAUAGCUUUAGCAAAAUAGUAUUGUAAUAGGCACAUUCUAAUAAUGCUGCAAGUGCUGAAGUGCUACAUAGUACAAGGUCUAAGCACCAAAAAUCAGGUUCAUAUGCCCAAACAAAUGUAUUUCGAAAUUUAAUGGUGGCCAUUUUGAAAAUAUGGUGCCACGCCCCCUUAAAAGGCCAAAUCUGUUGGGGAAACAAAAACACAUAUAGCCUGGUCGAUUUUGAGACCUAGCAACAAUGGGCAGUGGAGUAUGGUUUUCUCGCUCCAGCAGAUAGGUCAAUUAUUGCAUACAUGAAAACAACAACAAAUAUAUGUCACUUAUUGAUAAUUCACUGGACAUUCUACAGGUGAGAAGAGGUUCUUCAUGGGGGACGAGGCCUGCACAGUUGACUGUGCACUGUUUGGUAUGCUGGCUCAAAUGGUCUGGAACAUGCCAGGCUCACCACAUGAAGCAAUCAUCAAUGGGAAGUUCACAAACUUGAAGGAAUACGUCUACAGGAUGAAGGAGACUUACUGGCCGGACUGGGAUGCAUGCAUUCUGUGCCCAGAGAAGAAGGAAGAGAAGAAAAA